CAUUGAGCUAUAAAAUUUGAAUUUGUAUUUAAGGAUUCCAUGCACAAUUUGUUUCACCUAUUUAUUAGCGCGUUAAACCGGUAUUAGUGAUUGCGUGUUCGUUAGCGAUUACGAUAAAAAUACACAAAAUAUGUUGAAUAAAAAGAAUAACUAUAUAAUAAGAGCAAUAAUUAUGUGUACCAAGUUAGACCUGACAUCUUACGGAAUUUCUACGUAGUAUCGGUACUAGUGAAUGAAGUGAAAUGAGAUAUGCCUUGACACUUGCAAUUCAAUAAAGAAUAAAAAUCCAUUGACUAAAUGCAGGAUAAAUCUGACAUUAUUGUAUUGUAUUGUAUUGUACUGUAGUUAUUGAACAAAAUGAUAACAUCAGCCUCUAUGUGAUGGGUUUAUUGGUUAAGUACAGAGGUUAUGUACAGUUUAUCACAGACGAAGUACAGAAUGACAUGCAAUGCCUUUUCGUGUCCUACGUUUUAGGGAUCACUCUUUACCAUUUUCGUGUUACAUGCGACCUUAUUGAUUCAGUAUAGUAUUGGUUUGAAUUAAAAUUAAAGUCUUAUAUGGAAUUAUAAAUAAAACAUAGAACAUUUACAAUCCCAAGGAAGUAUGGAAUUUUAUACUCUUACAAUAUUUCAGUAAGUAUUACAAAUUAUCGAAAUAGUGAAAUAUUGUAUAUCUAUUACGUACAUUGCACUUAUACAUUACAUAAUAUUAAAAUAAUACAUAACUGUACGAUAAUAGUUAAAUAAUUUAAUCAAUUAAAACUUCCAAUUAAAUUAAAAAAUAGAAAUUACAUUAAUUUCACAUAUCUCAAACAUGUAAAUGUGAAUUUUCGAACCUUUUUAAUUUUCAUUUGUGUAUUCUCGAAUUGAUUAUUAAUUACAUAUUAUCAAGCAUAGCUAGUCUGACUCAGAAACUCGCAACAUAAUUUAUCGAUAAUCCAAACAGUUAAAUUACGUUCAAUGAAAGCAGUACUUAUUGAAAACAGUAAAAGAUAAAAAUGAAAAUAGAAAAAAGAUCACCGAAAUCUUGCUUCACAAAUAUAGUGAAACUAAGGCAUAAAACUAACUUCGCCACUUAAAAUUAAGACUUCAAAUUCAGGCUUAAGAGUAAGAUUGAAAAACUAAGAAUAAGAAUAAUAAUACUAAGAAUAAGAAUACUUGAAACAAUGAAUAAGUUCUCCGUUGUCCCUAAAGUUAACUCAAUCUAGAAUUACAACUAAAACCUACCUGAAAGUAUAGCUGAAUUAAAGGUAGAUAUUAGAUAGAUAUUAAUCUAAGGUACAUUAUUAUAUUCGAGAAAAAUUUUAAAACUAAAACUGUAAACAUUUUGUCAAAUCAAUUAUUCUAUUUAGUAAUUUAAUAUUUAAAAUUAUUAUAUGAAAAAGCUUUCAACUUUUCGUUCUAAGUUCAAAACAAUACAUUUUUGUAGAAAAGGUGCUCAAAAUAAACUUAGCCUAUAUGUAUUUAUCCUGAAAUCUCAAUUAAAAUUAAAACACGCGUAUCUCACGAUACCCAUGCGAUAUCCCGUCCCACGACGGGUGCUAAUAAUUUAUUAAGGUAUAUCUUUCUUAGAAUUAAUUGAAGCUAAGACGCACUCAUCUCACGAAGUCUUUGCGAUAUACAUUUGAAAAAGAAUUUUGGAUGGCUUAAACUAGACUAUAUUAGCGUAGUUCCUAGCUUGGUAUCAUUUUCCAAAGAUUAAUCAACUGAUUAAUUUUUAGAAAACGAUGCCAAUUACCAGGUCCCACCACGAGGAGGUAACUACGCAAGGGACUCGUCCAUGGGUUAUUUAACAUUACACAUCGAUCUCGACAUUCAACCUAUUGGCAAAAUGUCGAGUUCCAACUCUACUUGACCAUGGGCCUGCGUAAAGAAAUAGUUGCUUCGUAGCAUAACUGCGAAACACAUAUCUCCAACGCAGCGCUUACAUGAAUCUUUACAAACGAAGAACAAAGCAUACAUAACACAACAUCUA